rnacentral:tRNA from 1 species
GAUUUCAUGGGAGAGUGGCUAUCCGUUGGUCCCUAAAACCAAAUACGUCGGUUCGAGUCCGACUGGAAUCA